UAUUCACAGUUGGAAGGAGCACUUUCUUUAUGUAUCUUGUUCUGCUAUAGUAGACUAGGGGUUUGCUCGCUGGGGCUAACCUAGGGAGUUUGCCCUCCAAGCUCCUACAUUAGAGAAUGUAGAUGCUCAACACUUCAAUGCAUUGUAUUGGUAUAAGGUUUCAUCAUUGUUGGAGUUACUAUCAGAGAAGACUCUCUUCAAUAUUGAUCUCAACCUUAUUGAUCCCCA
rnacentral:lncRNA from 1 species